rnacentral:tRNA from 1 species
GCCUUCAUGGUGUAGUAGUCAGCACGCUUGAUGCAUAACCAAGAAGUCCGUGGUUCGAUUCCCGGCGAACACG